rnacentral:rRNA from 1 species
UGCUGCAGCUAACGCAUUAAGCACUCCGCCUGGGGAGUACGGUCGCAAGACUGAAACUCAAAGGAAUUGACGGGGGCCCGCACAAGCGGGGGAGCAUGUGGUUUAAUUCGAAGCAACGCGAAGAACCUUACCAGGUCUUGACAUCCUCUGACAACCCUAAAGAUAGGGCUUUCCCCUUCGGGGGACAGAGUGACAGGUGGUGCAUGGUUGUCGUCAGCUCGUGUCGUGAGAUGUUGGGUUAAGUCCCGCAACGAGCGCAACCCUUGAUCUUAGUUGCCAGCAUUCAGUUGGGCACUCUAAGAUGACUGCCGGUGACAAACCGGAGGAAGGUGGGGAUGACGUCAAAUCAUCAUGCCCCUUAUGACCUGGGCUACACACGUGCUACAAUGGACGGUACAAAGGGCAGCGAGACCGCGAGGUUUAGCCAAUCCCAUAAAACCGUUCUCAGUUCGGAUUGCAGGCUGCAACUCGCCUGCAUGAAGCUGGAAUCGCUAGUAAUCGCGGAUCAGCAUGCCGCGGUGAAUACGUUCCCGGGCCUUGUACACACCGCCCGUCACACCACGAGAGUUUGUAACACCCGAAGUCGGUGAGGUAACCUUUUGGAGCCAGCCGCCUAAGGUGGGACAGAUGAUUGGGGUGAAGUCUAC